GCAUCCAGAUUGUACGAAUAGGCUAGCUGUCAAACCGAUCAGCCUAUGCUUCUCGUGUGUGGAUAUGUGCGUCGCCACGAGUGUGUGUGUCGACAUGUUGUCAUCGUAUAUUUGCCUUGUGUGGUUUUGUACCUAGCGUGAUUUGGUGUCCAAAACUACAUAAACAUUCUGCAAUCGUUGUGAACAAUCUGGUUUGGUUAGUGUUUUUUGAAACAAAAUAUAUGAAAAUGAAACGUAACUCUUCGCAUUUUCAUAAAUUAGGUGUUACGGGUCAACUGUACAAAAUGUCGGCUCGAAGGGAAGCUUUGGAAAAGUCUGCUGAACAAGAAUCCGAAAAUGCUGACCCUGAUUCUACGGUUGAUUGUUUACAUACAACCAUACAGAAGACACAGAAGACAAUCAAACAAUCGAUGUUGUUCCGAUUAUUGAAACACCGGAUCGUUAUACCGACAACACGUUUGAAGCAUCGUAUCUCGACGAAGACAAUGAUUGGCUGAGUCAAGCUGAUUAUGAAGGCAAUGAUGAUCAAGACGAUGAUGAUGAUGAAGAGAAAAUAUCAUCCGGUGGAGUGUCUCAGUUUCGGAACGUGGAAUUGAAAGAAGCUUUGCAGUAUAGGGCGCUCACUACAUAAUAAUCGCGAUCAGCGGUAAACAUGAUGCUCGAAUACUUUCAUGAGCUUGCCAUCUACAAACAUUUACCGAAAGAUGCACGGACAGUGUUGUAGAUUUCACGAACACCUUUGGAUAUCAAUGCAAUUGAAGGUGGCAGAUAUUUCUACAAUAGAGUAAGACUUUGCUUGGUAAGUCGCCUUGAGUGAAUUUUGUUGGCCAUAAACGGCUGCACGAUCAACGGCUGCACAGCACAGUAGUUAGUGUGACCUUGCGCGCAUUUAUAUGCAAUGUCCUGGCAAGAGCUUACUAUAAAGGUAAGUUGUUUCGUUGCUUUAUUUAACUUACAGCAUAAUUAUUGUUGAAUCAUAUUUCUAAUUUUAGGUGUCAUGUAUUUCAACGCAAAACAUGGAUGUUUGAAAUGUUGCACCGUCGGCAAACACAGCUCUAAGAAUAGAUAGAAGAUAUUGUGGUAGCAGAUCGCCUGCAUCUAUGUCUCGUUUAUAAAGAAAUUGUUAAUAUUAUUAAAAACAAGCGUAUUUAUUAAAAUGUUGUGAAAGAAAUUAACUCAAGAAUAUGUUGUAAACUGUAAGUCUAAUUUCAUUUUAUUUUAAAGCAUGCAGAAUAGGAACGAAUAGCAUUUGUCCCUGUUCCUGUGAAGGGAAACAGAUUCUGCGGCUUGCCCUUGUGUCCAUCCUUUUGGAAUAUUGACGGU